GGUAAUGCCAGCUCCCCCCAGGCUUGAGGGCUGUCCUCCUGGCCUGGAGUGCUUGUAUCAGGUGAGAUCUGUGAAAUGAUCUUGAACAGUUGGCAGGAUUGGCAGGCUGUAUUCAAUAAAUGUUCACCACUGCAUGUAACUAUAAAGUGGAAUUUCCAAGAGACCCUGAUAUCAAAAUAAAAGCUGUAAUGACUGCUGCCUGUUCUCUUCUAGAUUUCAUGUUCUGCACCACUAUUUGAGAAACAGCAGGUUAGCAGGAACCGAAAACAACACUAAAAGGAUCCACACAGGAUAUCCAGAUUUCUUUUACUUCAUCAUAAUGUGACCAUCAUGUCCUGGACUUGAAGACCUCAAGAGGACUUUUGUCAUGAGUCCCCUUGUGUUCACAUGUCCCUGGUGGCCUUGGUCAUGUGUGUGAGUGUAAACGUGUAUGUUUGUGCGAGACAGUGUUGGUGCAGCUGGAUGUUUCUGCUGUUGCCCAGAAGCUGUGAUUGUGCAAUGUUCACUUAGCACCCAUGGAUACAAGAGAAGAUAUGGAAGAACAGACCCCCAGUGGGCCAAUGGAUCUUCAGGGAAUGGGAGUCUCUCUCCUAGCAGGAAGCUCUUUCUUCCCUAGUGUCAGGUCACCCCCCAAGCACACAAAAGAGCUUUCAUCUCAAUAGUAUCACCAUCAAUAAGGCUACAUACUACCUAAACUUCUGCUAAUGAAUAAUAAUGGAUACAAUGCACCAUUCACUAAAUUAUAUCGUUGUGUGGAUUUUACAAUUGACAAUUGAUUUUUUAAUCAUGUUAUGUGACAUCUUGAAGUUGAAAGAUUUAUAAUGUUAUAGCCUAGAAAAAAAGAAGAAACUGCCAAAUUAUCUUUUAAAUAAAAUACAUUUAACAUUUCUCUUUUAGUAGUUUAAGUAGGUAUGUCAGUGUGUGUGGGUUGCAAAGGAA